UACAGAGGUGGCAAGCGUUGUUCGGAAUUACUGGGCGUAAAGGGCGCGUAGGCGGCCUUCUAAGUCGAACGUGAAAUCCCCGGGCUCAACCCGGGAACUGCGUCCGAGACUGGAAGGCUCGAAUCCGGGAGAGGGAUGUGGAAUUCCAGGUGUAGCGGUGAAAUGCGUAGAUAUCUGGAGGAACAUCGGUGGCGAAGGCGGCAUCCUGGACCGGUAUUGACGCUGAGGCGCGAAAGCCAGGGGAGCAAACGGG
rnacentral:rRNA from 1 species